GCUUGGGUAGAUUAUUUAAAUCAUGAUGCUGUUAACUUUAAGAAGGCUUUAGUGCCCCUGAGCG
rnacentral:tRNA from 1 species